rnacentral:rRNA from 1 species
AUUGAACGCUGGCGGCAUGCUUUACACAUGCAAGUCGAACGGCAGCGCGGGCUUCGGCCUGGCGGCGAGUGGCGAACGGGUGAGUAAUGCAUCGGAACGUGCCCCGUAGUGGGGGAUAGCCCGGCGAAAGCCGGAUUAAUACCGCAUACGACCUGCGGGUGAAAGCGGGGGACCGAAAGGCCUCGCGCUAUUGGGGCGGUCGAUGUCGGAUUAGCCAGUUGGUUGGGUAAAGGCUUACCAAGGCGACGAUCCGUAGCUGGUCUGAGAGGACGACCAGCCCCACUGGGACUGAGACACGGCCCAGACUCCUACGGGAGGCAGCAGUGGGGAAUUUUGGACAAUGGGGGCAACCCUGAUCCAGCCAUGCCGCGUGCGGGAAGAAGGCCUUCGGGUUGUAAACCGCUUUUGUUCGGGAAGAAAUCCUCUGGGCUAAUACCCCGGGGGGAUGACGGUACCGGAAGAAUAAGCACCGGCUAACUACGUG